rnacentral:lncRNA from 1 species
UCCGACUCAGGUUACUUUCCAUGUAACAACUGACUAGAUUAGAUUCAAACUGACUUGUGACCCUAGGUCAUCAGCCUAUAUAAGGUGGCCAAGGGCCCCUCAUGAGGGCAUCUCAACUCUCCGCAUACCAUACCAGCAAUACAAUCCAGCAAAACACAGGACGUAGGGUAUUACUUUCCAGGGGCCUGAACCUAUCUAAACCUUUGUGUCCUCGUGAUUACCUUUGAAUUCUUGAUCUCACAAUCC